rnacentral:tRNA from 1 species
GCCUUCGUGGUGUAGUGGUCAGCACGCUCGUCGCGUAACCGAGAGGUCCGUGGUUCGAUUCCUGCGAAGGCG